CUGGAAAGGAGGGAUCAGGUGUUGGGAUCCUCUGACUCUGUAAACGUCAGGAAUGAAUUUCAGUUCCUGCCUCUGUCUCCUAACCGGUGGCACAGGAGGUCCGAGGCGGUGUUGGCCGAAGGUACAGAAGGUGCGGAAGGUUUAAACAGGCAUAAAAUUCGGCAAAGCCUUGGGAGGGAUCGUCGCCUUCUUCCCUGGAACCUGGGGAAGCCGUGGUGGCAGCAGACCCAUUUCCGCGAGGCACCCUCCCCGGAAGCGCCUCCCCAGCCAGCCGAUCCCGGCGUCUCGCUGAUGUAAACAGAAAGCGGAAGCCACGCAGGGGUGUGCAGCACGGAUGCACCUGUUCCGUGCUUUAAAACUUUCCCAGCGCCGUUCGGCGAGCACUCAGUCCUGCCCGGACACAGACGCCAUUUCGUUUCCCCGUUAGACACAGGGCGUCCAGGAUACGACGGCCACCAAGCAAAAUCCCGCUCGUUCUCUGCGUGAAGAGUCUCGCUUCGCAAGAAUUCAGAACACCUUGACCAUCACGUGACCUUGCAGCUUCUGUGGGACUUGACCCCCCCACGUGGCACCACUCUUACCCAUCACCUAUCCGUCCAUCUCCAUCCACACUUGUCCACAGCAGUCCUGCAGGAGCUCGGGGCUGUUGAGAUGCGUUCCCAGGUGACAGCAAGGUGUGGGGUGAGGAAGGACACGCAGAAAUACCCUGACCCACAGAAAAGGGAGCGGUACUCUCUGCCUCCAGUCUAAGAAUAGUAGUUGGGCGAGUUUUACAUGCCCAUAAAUUCCUAAGUCCGUCCUUACUGUGUGGGUCUGUAUUACCCAGAAUCUAACCAAAACCAAAGUCAAUUCUAACGGUC